UUGGGCUUAAGUGUAUGCAGGCGGAUCGUUAAGUGAGGGGUGAAAUCCCGAGGCUCAACCUCGGAACUGCCUUUCAUACUGGCGAUCUUGGAGUCCGGGAGAGGUGAGUGGAACUGCGAGUGUAGAGGUGAAAUUCGUAGAUAUUCGCAAGAACACCAGUGGCGAAGGCGGCUCACUGGGCCCCGGUACUGACGCUGAGAUACGAAAGCGUGGGGAGCAAAACAGGAUUAGAUA
rnacentral:rRNA from 1 species